rnacentral:rRNA from 1 species
UACGUAGGGGGCAAGCGUUGUCCGGAAUCAUUGGGCGUAAAGCGCGUGUAGGCGGCUCGGUAAGUCUGCUCUGAAAGCCCGGGGCUCAACCCUGGGAGGCGGGUGGAUACUGCUGAGCUCGAGUCCGGAAGAGGCGAGUGGAAUUCCUGGUGUAGCGGUGAAAUGCGCAGAUAUCAGGAGGAACACCAAUGGCGAAGGCAGCUCGCUGGGACGGUACUGACGCUGGAGACGCGAAAGCGUGGGGAGCAAACAGG